rnacentral:tRNA from 1 species
GGAGGGGUAGCGCAGGUGGUCAGUUCGCGCUGGACUGAAAAUCCAGAGAUGUGGGUUCGACUCCCACCUCCUCCA